rnacentral:rRNA from 1 species
GAUUAACGCGAAGAACCUUACCUACCCUUGACAUGGUCGGAAUCCUGCUGAGAGGUGGGAGUGCUCGAAAGAGAACCGGCGCACAGGUGCUGCAUGGCUGUCGUCAGCUCGUGUCGUGAGAUGUUGGGUUAAGUCCCGCAACGAGCGCAACCCUUGUCCUUAGUUGCUACGCAGGAGCACUCUAAGGAGACUGCCGGUGACAAACCGGAGGAAGGUGGGGAUGACGUCAAGUCCUCAUGGCCCUUAUGGGUAGGGCUUCACACGUCAUACAAUGGUCGGAACAGAGGGUUGCCAACCCGCGAGGGGGAGCUAAUCCCAGAAAAUCGAUCGUAGUCCGGAUUGCACUCUGCAACUCGAGUGCAUGGAGCUGGAAUCGCUAGUAAUCGCGGAUCAGCAUGCCGCGGUGAAUACGUUUCCCGGCCUUGUACACACCGAAUC